rnacentral:rRNA from 1 species
AUGAUCACUACUCAGUCCCAGACACUCCUUACAUUUAUGAGCGCAAUUGUUGGUACAUCAUUAGGCGUAAUGGUACAUGCAGUCACAGGGGGUCCAUGCAAAGUAUCUUCCACAGUUGAUGCACCGCACUGCAUGUAUGUAUGUAGUACUUCCACCAACCAGGUACUGAGAUCGCAUUCUACACAAAUCACACCCAAUCCGAGCAUGGAAACUGACGCAGCGAAAUCAAUGAACUCCUUAAACAUGGCCGCAAUUCCCUACGGAUCAGGGACUUCACAAUGGUACCUGUAUCUCAGAGUACACAGAGUAACCUUUGAUGCCAGCUUAAUCUGUUGUCAUCCUGUAACAGUUUAUUUCUACAUCUCCUUUAUAACAUUGCCAGAAUCUUCCUUCGUAGGGACUCCUUUUUCUAAACCUACUAUAUGUUGUUUUCGGGGCUCUGCUACUGCCUAUAUUUGGUGA